AAGGAUCAUUAUCGAAUAAACUUGAAACAGGCUGUUUGCUGGCUCCCCACCUGGGAGCAUGUGCACGCUUGUCUCAUCUUUAUCUCUCCCAACUGUGCACAUUUUGUAGACCCUGGAGCUUUUUUUGAAUUUCAUUCGAGUCAGGACUUGCUGUGCUUUUCAAGUCGGCUUUUCCUUGCAAUUCUCCAGGUCUAUGUUUCACAACCUCUCAAAUGUGUUUUAGAAUGUUGUCGUACAUAUUUGAAAUAUACAACUUUCAGCAACGGAUCUCUUGGCUCUC
rnacentral:misc_RNA from 1 species